rnacentral:rRNA from 1 species
CCUACGGGCGGCAGCAGUGGGGAAUAUUGGACAAUGGGCGAAAGCCUGAUCCAGCCAUGCCGCGUGUGUGAAGAAGGCCUUCGGGUUGUAAAGCACUUUCAGUGGGGAAGAAAGCCUUGGGGCUAAUACCCUCGAGGAAGGACAUCACCCACAGAAGAAGCACCGGCUAACUCCGUGCCAGCAGCCGCGGUAAUACGGAGGGUGCGAGCGUUAAUCGGAAUUACUGGGCGUAAAGCGCGCGUAGGCGGUCUGAUAAGCCGGUUGUGAAAGCCCCGGGCUCUACCUGGGAACGGCAUCCGGAACUGUCAGGCUAGAGUGCAGGAGAGGAAGGUAGAAUUCCCGGUGUAGCGGUGAAAUGCGUAGAGAUCGGGAGGAAUACCAGUGGCGAAGGCGGCCUUCUGGACUGACACUGACGCUGAGGUGCGAAAGCGUGGGUAGCAAACAGGAUUAGAUACCCCGGUAGUC